rnacentral:rRNA from 1 species
AUUCCAGCUCCAAUAGCGUAUAUUAAAGUUGUUGCAGUUAAAAAGCUCGUAGUUGGAUUUCUGGUAGGAGCGACCGGUCCGCCCUGUUAAGGGUGUGUACUAGCGUUGUCUCUGGCCAUCCUUGGGGGAACUGCGCGGGGAGACUUGCGUUAGGGAACCCAUCGUUUACUGUGAAAAAAUUAGAGUGUUUAAAGCAGGCUUAUGCCGUUGAAUACACUAGCAUGGAAUAAUAAGAUAGGACCGCGUGGUCGUCUUGUUGGUUUGCACCGCGAGGUAAUGAUUAAUAGGUACAGUUGGGGGUAUUCGUAUUUAAUUGUCAGAGGUGAAAUUCUUGGAUUUAUGAAAGGCGAACUUCUGCGAAAGCAUUUACCAAGGAUGUUUUCAUUA